rnacentral:rRNA from 1 species
AUUGAACGCUGGCGGCAGGCCUAACACAUGCAAGUCGAGCGGAUGAAGGGAGCUUGCUCCUGGAUUCAGCGGCGGACGGGUGAGUAAUGCCUAGGAAUCUGCCUGGUAGUGGGGGAUAACGUCCGGAAACGGGCGCUAAUACCGCAUACGUCCUGAGGGAGAAAGUGGGGGAUCUUCGGACCUCACGCUAUCAGAUGAGCCUAGGUCGGAUUAGCUAGUUGGUGGGGUAAAGGCCUACCAAGGCGACGAUCCGUAACUGGUCUGAGAGGAUGAUCAGUCACACUGGAACUGAGACACGGUCCAGACUCCUACGGGAGGCAGCAGUGGGGAAUAUUGGACAAUGGGCGAAAGCCUGAUCCAGCCAUGCCGCGUGUGUGAAGAAGGUCUUCGGAUUGUAAAGCACUUUAAGUUGGGAGGAAGGGCAGUAAGUUAAUACCUUGCUGUUUUGACGUUACCAACAGAAUAAGCACCGGCUAACUUCGUGCCAGCAGCCGCGGUAAUACGAAGGGUGCAAGCGUUAAUCGGAAUUACUGGGCAUAAAGCGCGCGUAGGUGGUUCAGCAAGUUGGAUGUGAAAUCCCCGGGCUCAACCUGGGAACUGCAUCCAAAACUACUGAGCUAGAGUACGGUAGAGGGUGGUGGAAUUUCCUGUGUAGCGGUGAAAUGCGUAGAUAUAGGAAGGAACACCAGUGGCGAAGGCGACCACCUGGACUGAUACUGACACUGAGGUGCGAAAGCGUGGGGAGCAAACAGGAUUAGAUACCCUGGUAGUCCACGCCGUAAACGAUGUCGACUAGCCGUUGGGAUCCUUGAGAUCUUAGUGGCGCAGCUAACGCGAUAAGUCGACCGCCUGGGGAGUACGGCCGCAAGGUUA